AGCAGUGGGGAAUUUUGGACAAUGGGCGAAAGCCUGAUCCAGCAAUGCCGCGUGAGUGAAGAAGGCCUUCGGGUUGUAAAGCUCUUUUGUCAGGGAAGAAACGGUGAGAGCUAAUAUCUCUUGCUAAUGACGGUACCUGAAGAAUAAGCACCGGCUAACUACGUGCCAGCAGCCGCGGUAAUACGUAGGGUGCAAGCGUUAAUCGGAAUUACUGGGCGUAAAGCGUGCGCAGGCGGUUUUGUAAGUCUGAUGUGAAAUCCCCGGGCUCAACCUGGGAAUUGCAUUGGAGACUGCAAGGCUAGAAUCUGGCAGAGGGGGGUAGAAUUCUACGUGUAGCAGUGAAAUGCGUAGAUAUGUGGAGGAACACCGAUGGCGAAGGCAGCCCCCUGGGUCAAGAUUGACGCUCACG
rnacentral:rRNA from 1 species